GGCGUGCCUAACACAUGCAAGUCGAACGAAGCAUUUACACGGAUUUCCUUCGGGGAUGAAGGGUUUAUUACUGACUGGCGGACGGGUGAGUAACGCGUGGGCAACCUGCCCCUUACCGGGGGACAACAGCCGGAAUCGGCUGCUAUUACCGUAUACCUUUUAGGGACCCCUGGGUCCGUAAAACAAAACUCCGGUGGUACGGGAUGGGCCCCCGUCUGAUUACCUCGUUGGCGGGGUAACGGCCCACCAAGGCGACGAUCAGUACCCAGCCGGAAAGGGCGGCCGGCCACAUUGGGACUGAAACACGGCCCAAACUCCUGCGGGAGGCAGCAGUGGGGAAUAUUGCACAAUGGGGGAAACCCUGAUGCACCGACGCCCCGUGAGCAAGGAAGUACCUCGGUAUGUAAACCUCUGUCACCAGGGAAAAAAAUGACAGUACCUGACCAAGAAGCCCCGGCUAACUACGUGCCAGCAGCCGCGGUAAUACGUAGGGGGCAAGCGUUAUCCGGAUUCACUGGGCGUAAAGGGAGCGUAGGCGGCACGGCAAGUCUGAUGUGAAAACCCGGGGCUCAACCCCGGGACUGCUUUGGAAACUGCCGGGCUGGAGUGUCGGAGGGGCAGGCGGAAUUCCUGGUGUAGCGGUGAAAUGCGUAGAUAUCAGGAGGAACACCGGUGGCGAAGGCGGCUUGCUGGACGUUAACUGACGUUGAGGCUCGAAAGCGUGGGGAGCAAACAGGAUUA
rnacentral:rRNA from 1 species